AGCUAUCUUACGGGGUGGUCAAUUGGUUGUUAUAUCUCCACUAAUAAGCAGAGAGGGGUAAAACCUUCAAAGUGAGUUAUGUGGGUCAAGGUAUGGUGAUUAAUUGGAGUUCUAGUUCAUUUACUUUGAGAAAAUUAGAGUGUUUAAAGCAGCCUCUUGGGGCACUGAAUACAUUAGCAUGGGAUAAUAAAAUAGGAUCUUCACAAUAUAUUUUAUUGGUUUAAAUUGCGUAUGAAGAUAAUGAUUAAUAGGGACAGUUGGGGGUAUUCAUAUUGGGUGGUUAGCGGUGAAAUGCUCGGAUCCAUUCAAGAUGAACUAAAGCGAAGGCAUUUACCAAGGAUGUUUUCAUUAAUCAAGAACGAAAGUUAAGGGGAUCGAAGACGAUUAGAUACCGUCGUAGUCUUAACUAUAAACUAUGCCGACCAGGG
rnacentral:rRNA from 1 species